rnacentral:rRNA from 1 species
UACAGAGGUCUCAAGCGUUGUUCGGAUUCAUUGGGCGUAAAGGGUGCGUAGGCGGCGCGGUAAGUCGGGUGUGAAAUCUUGGAGCUUAACUCCGAAACUGCAUUCGAUACUGCCGCGCUUGAGGACUGGAGAGGAGACUGGAAUUUACGGUGUAGCGGUGAAAUGCGUAGAGAUCAUGAGGAAGACCAGUGGCGAAGGCGGGUCUCUGGACAGUUCCUGACACUGAGACACGAAGGCCAGGGGAGCAAACGGG